rnacentral:rRNA from 1 species
CAGUCGCCGCGGUAAUACGGAGGGUGCAAGCGUUAAUCGGAAUUACUGGGCGUAAAGCGCACGCAGGCGGUCUGACAAGUCAGAUGUGAAAUCCCCGGGCUUAACCUGGGAACUGCAUUUGAAACUGUCAGGCUGGAGUCUUGUAGAGGGGGGUAGAAUUCCAGGUGUAGCGGUGAAAUGCGUAGAGAUCUGGAGGAAUACCUGUGGCGAAGGCGGCCCCCUGGACAAAGACUGACGCUCAGGUGCGAAAGCGUGGGGAGCAAACAGGAUUAGAUACCCGCGUAGUCCCUGUCUCUUAUAC